rnacentral:misc_RNA from 1 species
CCAAUAGCGUAUAUUAAAGUUGUUGCAGUUAAAAAGCUCGUAGUUGAAUUUUGGAUUCUACCAAUCGGUCCAUCUUUUGAUGAGUACUGGUUGUGUGGGGUCUAUCCGCCUGGUAAUACGUAAUGUCCUUUAUUGGAUGUUGCGGGUAGUCAGGACCUUUACCUUGAAAAAAUUAGAGUGUUUAAAGCAGGCUUAUGCCGGAAUACAUUAGCAUGGAAUAUUAGAAUAGGACGAAGUUGUUUUAUUUUGUUGGUUUCUAGGACAACCGUAAUGAUUAAUAGGGAUAGUUGGGGGCAUUAGUAUUCAAUUGUCAGAGGUGAAAUUCUUGGAUUUAUUGAAGACUAACUAUUGCGAAAGCAUUUGCCAAGGAUGUUUUCAUUAAUCAAGAACGAAAGUUAGGGGAUCGAAGACGAUCAGAUACCGUCGUAGUCUUAACCAUAAACUAUGCCGACUAGGGAUCGGGCGAUGUUGUUUCAAGGACUCGCUCGGCACCUUAUG